UACGGAGGAUGCGAGCGUUAUCGGGAUUUAUUGGGUUUAAAGGGUGCGUAGGCGGGAUGCCAAGUCAGCGGUAAAAAUGCGGUGCUCAACGCCGUCGAGCCGUUGAAACUGGCGUUCUUGAGUGGGCGAGAAGUAUGCGGAAUGCGUGGUGUAGCGGUGAAAUGCAUAGAUAUCACGCAGAACUCCGAUUGCGAAGGCAGCAUACCGGCGCCCUACUGACGCUGAGGCACGAAAGCGUGGGUAUCGAACAGG
rnacentral:rRNA from 1 species